CACACUGUAAACGAUGAUAACUCGCUGCCGGCGAUACAUUGUCGGUGGCCAAGCGAAAGCAUUAAGUUAUCCACCUGGGGAGUACGACCGCAAGGUUGAAACUCAAAGGAAUUGACGGGGGCCCGCACAAGCGGAGGAACAUGUGGUUUAAUUCGAUGAGACGCGAGGAACCUUACCCGGGCUCGAACGGUGCAUGAAUAUAUGAGAGAUUGUAUAGUCUGCGGACAUGCAUCGAGGUGC
rnacentral:rRNA from 1 species